rnacentral:rRNA from 1 species
CACGUAGGGUGCGAGCGUUGUCCGGAAUUAUUGGGCGUAAAGAGCUCGUAGGCGGUGUGUCGCGUCGGCCGUGAAAACCUGCAGCUUAACUGUGGGCGUGCGGUCGAUACGGGCAUCACUGGAGUUCGGCAGGGGAGACUGGAAUUCCUGGUGUAGCGGUGAAAUGCGCAGAUAUCAGGAGGAACACCGGUGGCGAAGGCGGGUCUCUGGGCCGAUACUGACGCUGAGGAGCGAAAAGCGUGGGGAGCAAACAGG